rnacentral:rRNA from 1 species
GACGUAGGGGGCAAGCGUUGUCCGGAAUCAUUGGGCGUAAAGCGCUCGUAGGUGGAUCGGUAAGUCUGCAAAGAAAGACCCGGGCUCAACUCGGGGAACGGUGUGGAUACUACCGAUCUUGAGGCAAUCAGAGGAUGAUGGAAUUCCCGGUGUAGCGGUGAAAUGCGUAGAUAUCAGGAGGAACACCUGUGGCGAAGGCGGGUCUCUGGGCCGAUACUGACGCUGAGGAGCGAAAGCGUGGGGAGCGAACAGG